GUGUGUUUCAGACACAACCUUGCAGGCAAAGUUAAGGCUGCCAGCAAACCAGGGUUAACAUAGAGGCUAAAGGAACUGAAGCCCGAGGCCCAUUCUCCUGGAUUAGGUCCAUUGAUUUUAAAAAAGUAUUAAUUUAUUUUACUACUCUUCACAUGUUCUGCUUUGUGCAGAGGGAAUGAAAUACUUGGAUUUUGCCAAGGCAUUCGAUACAAUUAAUCACAAAAGGUUAGUGUUCAAACUAAAAGAAAUUGGUCUAGAUGAAAGUUCAUGUCGUUAGGUAAAACAUUGGCUUAAAGAUAGAGUACAGAGAGUUGCCAUUAAUGGUAAAUUUUCAAGCAGCAUAAACGUUGUAAGGGGUGUCACUCAGGGUUCUGUUUUGGGACCAUUUCUAUGUAAUAUAUGUAUAAAUGAUCUUGAAAUAGGCAUUGAAAGCCAUGUUUCAAUAUUCGCAGGUGACACAAAACUCUAUAAUGUAACACAUUGUUGAGCAGGAUAUUACCUUGCUGCAGAGGGAUUUAGAUAGAUUGGGGGACUGAAAUUUAAUGUAGAAAAUGUAAAGUUAUGUACUUCGGGGUGAAAAAUGCACAAGUAACUUACAUUGUAAAUGGUAGUCAAUUAGGGAUAACAAAAAACAAGAAGGAUUUGGGAAUUGCUAUAGACAACCAACUAGGCAACAAUAUACAAUGUAGGGAUGUGCAUGGGCAAAAGAUUUGGUUUGGCACUUUGGCAAUUCCCUAACCCUACCACUACCCCAUAACCCUAACCCUACCCCUAACCCUUACCCUAACCUUACCCCUAGCCCUACCGCGUACUCUUACCCCUCACCCUACGCCUACCUCUACCCCUAACACUAACCUUUUGGGCAGUGCUAAUGAUGUGAUUCAUAUCACUGGACUAACUAUUUUUACCAUGCUCACCAACGUGUGUGUGAAUUAGGGAGCAAUCUAAUAAAUAGCUGAACGAGCAACAUUAAUAAAAGGGCUUUUCUUAAUUUGGCUGCUACUUUUUUUUUUAACAGAGAGCACUAGGUCAUUUUCGUUUUGUUUUCACAGACUCCGUUUGAUGCCAUUGGAGUUGGUAUUGUUUUUGUGACUUUAUCAUGUUUACAAAGUUUUUUCUCAUUGAUAUUUGGACUUACUCAUUGGACUUUUAUGAUAAAUCUUAUACUAUUUUUAUAUAUUGAGUAAUGCUUUUGGGAGAAUCUGGUUUUAUGAUGUGAGUCAUUUGUUGGGGGGUUAGCCCUGUUUAGUGUAUUUCACUUAUUCUUAUUUAUCUUUUUAGGGAAUGUUGAGUGGUCACUCUGACAACUUUGAGUCCCUGAAUUUUUCUGUAAUUUGCUAUAUUGUUUCGUGGUAUUUGAUGUGUCACUUGGAACAUCUGAAAAAAUAUUACAUAUAUAUAAAGCAGCUUGUGCAGAGUAACCUGCUUUUUUUGUUGCUGAUUUCAUAUUCAUCAGCAAACCAUGAUUAUGCAUUUAAACGCUGGCUGCAAGCGAUCAGACACAUUCCCUAUCAGUGUUUUUUUGUAGGGAAGUUGAUAAGUUAUUUGUUGUGUUAUUCUUUGAAACGUUUUAGUUACAGUGUUAGGACAUGUUGAGAAAGCUUCUUGCCUGACACUGUUCUGGAGAGAAUGUGUAUCUAUAGCACAUUUACUGCUCUAUACUCUUUGGCAGAUCCUUGUUCAGCCACCUGUAGUGCCCUACACCGUUCAGCAGAACUGUGCUGAAGGUGCUACUUUAGCAGUUUUCUAUUAUUGAAUUGGCAGCUAAUGGCUGGGUUUUAUGUUGGCAAGCUCAGAGGAGAGACUGUGUUCAGAAUGUUCUUUCUGCUACUCUUAUAACAAACGUCAACCAAUCUAUCUGCUCUUUCUCACACUACUUAGAAGUUUCUUUGCAAUCUGCUUCAAAUGUCAUAAUAUACUGUUCUUUUUUGUUCUAUAGCGAUUAACUUUAAUCUUGUGAAUGAAUCACGACAUCAGACUAUUUAGGAGCAUUCAAGUUAUCCCAAUAAAUUAUUCACUUUUAAAGAGGGUGGAAAUUAGGAUGGCCAUCAUUGUUUUGGGGUGCUUAUGAAUUCAGCAUUCUGGGGGGUACAGCUUUGUGAUAUAUGAAAUUCAUGUCCCCUAGAUGUGAAAUCAUUGAAAUUUUCAGAGGCUGUAUUUUGGGAUAAUUGAUUUAUUGUCAGGAGCACAUUCAUACUGCCAGGGGGCACAUUCAUUUCCUCGCUUCAUGGAAUGCAGAAUUUAACCUGGUUUUAGAAAAAAGGGAGGCAGCUCUAGUGACCAUACAGCCCCAUUCAACUACUGAUGCUCCUAAGAGAUGCACCCUGCAGACCGGUGGUGGCUGUCAUGCAGCUGUGCAAUGCAGUGCCUGAUUUAGAGCGUCCUGAUCCUGGAGCUGCAAGAUUGGAGGCUUAAUGAGAGAACUUGAAUUUGCAUAUUAAUUGUCACAAUAGCUGUUUUGGACUGCAUGUGAUCCAAAUGGUGUUCUAAAAUGAUGAUGAAGCCGCACACUUUAAAGUUGUGCACAUGGCAGGGAAGACAACCAUCAAGCAUAGUACAGUCUGAGUACAAAGCAGUGACUGGGAAGCAAUUAAUACAUUCAAAAUACGAUUACAAUAGAAAAUGAGUAGAGCAUGAAAUAAACAUAGAAACAUAGACAUAAUAAAUAAAUAAACUGAACAUAUAUAUUGUGGCUGCUUUGGACCUGUUUCAAAUCAUGGGCUGGAGCUGCCUCUUCAGCAUUCCCUAUGUUAAUCUGGCUCCAAAUUUAGAAGCAUUUCAAUACUUGCUCUAAAAAUAUAAUACUGUAGAAAAUCAGCAACUAAUUAAGAUUUUAAAAGUUAGUUGACAACUUAGUAACUUACUUACUUAGUAACUUACUGUUAGUUUUGAUUAUUAAUUCCAGCAGCAAUGACUCAGCUGUUCAUCAUUCCGAGGUAGAUAAAAUGAGUGCCAUUAAACUGGGUAAUAGUGACAUCCCCUGGAUGCUGGACAAAAGUAACAUAUCCAAGAUGUACAUGGAAACCAGAAUAAUCUGAAUGUAUUUUUCCUGAGUAAAUACUUUGUUAUUAUAUAUCUGUAUGGCAUUAAGGUAUGGUGAUAAGAUAUCAGUGCCCGUUCUUCAGUCAAUGUGUUUAUACUUACAUUCACUACACCUACUUUAAUAAAACAAUAAUAUUUAAUGGUAUGAAGAAAGAAGGGAUUUUUUUUUCUAACUCCAAGUUGACUGUUGCUCUUUAAUACAGGUGCCAUUCCCACGGCAAAUCCACAUAGGAUAUGUAUGCAUUUAUAAUUGUAAGUAGAUGGCAAGUGAGUUCAUAGAUUUUAUUUAUUUAUUGAUUCACUUGAUGUGUCUAUACUACAGGAAUACCUAGAUAUUUAUAGAAUUAAGAUAACUAUAAUAAGGGUAACAGAUAAUGGCAGGAGCAUCAUCACAUCUGCUGUGACAAAGACCAUGUAGAUGGCAGAAUUAUGACAAGUUCUGGGCAGCAGUGUCCAGACAGACACAAUGGAAUCACAUGGGCAAUAUACAGGGGGUGCAGAAUUAUUAGGCAAGUUGUAUUUUUGAGGAUUAAUUUUAUUAUUGAACAACAACCAUGUUCUCAAUGAACCCAAAAAACUCAUUAAUAUCAAAGCUGAAUAUUUUUGGAAGUAGUUUUCAGUUUGUUUUUAGUUAUAGCUAUGUUAGGGGGAUAUCUGUGUGUGCAGGUGACUAUUACUGUGCAUAAUUAUUAGGCAACUUAACAAAAAACAAAUAUAUACCCAUUUCAAUUAUUUAUUAUUACCAGUGAAACCAAUAUAACAUCUCAACAUUCACAAAUAUACAUUUCUGUCAUUCAAAAACAAAACAAGAUGUGUCUGGAGCUCCGGGCCGCAAAGCUGAAAAAACCCUAUUUUCUGAUACCCAGACGGGACCAACAGGGCCCGACAGCUCCCCCGGGUGCCCUGAACCCAGAUGGGGAAAAAAACAAAAAAAGCGAGACAAGAAGCGCCCCGAACGGGCAUGAACAUAGGAGAGAUGUGGCGGCAGGCUCGUGGCGCACAGGGGCCUGGGUUGGCGGCCAUUGCUGGGGAGUGCUCAGACCUCUCGGACGACUUCUCUUGUGGAACCGAUGAGGGCUACACACCUGCUACGGCGCUUCCCCCGCCGCGGAUCCCGACAGCACAGCCGGACCCCGCUCCUGUGACGGCCGCACUCUUGAAAGAACUGCUGGCGGAUUUACAAAAGAACCUCCAGGCAGACAUGGCCACAAUACGCCAAGACUUGAAAGGCCUGACUGGCAGGAUAGGAGCCUUAGAAACCACCUCACUCUCAGCCAAACAGCAGAUCACCACCCUCCAGCAGGAGGUCAGAGACCUGCGAACACUAAACGGCUCCUAUGAAAGGCGCUUUGCAGCCCUUGAAGACUCCCGCCGUCGGAAUAACAUAAAGGUCAGGGGGGUCCCCGACAACGUACCGAAGCGGAGCUCCCGCACGUGGUAAGGAGACUACUUGCGGCCCUGCUCACACCCAAACUGUCCAAAGCAUUAGAGAUAGAGGGCAUAUUCAGGGUGCCCAAACCUGCCCAGGCACCAACCUCUGCCACGAGGGACUUGAUCGUACAAUUCGUUAAAGGGAGAGACAAAGCAACCCUCUUAAAUGCACUACGCGGCAACUCACCUUACUCCUUCGAAGGCAUGGACCUAACCUUUUAUGCGGAUUUGAGCAGCAGCACCUUGGCAUGGCGUCGGGAGCUGCGACCGCUUACUAUCCUCCUACAGAAGCAUAACCUUAACUACAGAUGGCGACCCUCACGUGCCCUGUCAGUCGCCCAUGGGACUACAACUCACAUCAUCCGAGACCUCCAAGAAGCCAAAACGCUCCUGCAGAAACUGGGCAUUCCCCAACACCUCCUACCCACCGAAGCACCUGAGGCAGCACAGCGACCAACCCACGGCUGGAAUCCGGAAACUACAGCGGAAUUUGUACCCAGACAGGCCGCCCAGGGCUUACAGAACAAUACCAAGACCUGACUUUAUGAGAGACAGCCUAUCAUAGGCCCAGUACUGGACCCACACACUCUGGCAGCCCGAUCCACACAAGGCCCUUAAACCCACAUACCCACUCACAAGCUGAGCAUAUACCGCUUAUUAACCUCCCUUAGAUUGGUGGAAGGUACCCGCCACGGUUCCCCCCCCUCAGGAAUAUAAUUUAUUUAUUUUUCUCCUCCUCGUUCACACUAUAUACAUAUAUAUAGUCUCCCCCGUAGGUAUGCAACACCGCUCCUACUACCGGCAACUCCGAUCCAGCACAACACCUUGCACAACAGCAUCCACACAGGGGAAUUGCUCGCAGUGCACUCUCACUUUUCUUUACUCUCUCCAUUCUAUAUGUGCAAUUAGUGACAGUGACCUAGCAGGGUUACCGGGCCCGGUGGCUUUCUCAGCUACGAGUCACCACUUUUUAUCUUCAUGGGAUUUAUGGGCCCUAUCCCAAGCAGAUUACUCUAGCAUGUUCACAUAACUUACACUAUGUAAGCAGUUUAUUUGGGUACUUACAGUUUAGCCUGAAACAGUUAGCUAUGAGAUAGAAUCAGCUAUUAGACCACAUACUAUUACUUACCUAACCUAUGCCUACCUAUAAAAAUUGUACAUAAUCUUGCAGCCAUAACACUUUUUGACAUGGCAUUCGCUUUUUGUAUUUGUCAUAUUGCCUGUGACCUUUCAUAUUUACUCUUGUGCCCUAUAUCAAUGAAGGCAUAUUGUGGUUCAUUUCUUUAAUAAUACCAGUCUACUUAGCUUGCCUAAGCUACCCUCUGCGGGACUUCCUAGUCCAUGAAUAUAGUAGCGUAAGCUUGAACAACUAACCUGCAAUGUUCUUUAAUAUUAUUAUUGCCUAUCUUACGCUAAUACAGAUUCUACUGUUUAACAAUAAUUAACCUAGAUAUAACUCGUUGUUAAGUGUUUAAAAAAUUUUUUUUUAAAAUGUGCAAAGUUUUUUCCACUGCCUAAUUAAUGUAAACCUUUGUUUAACUCUGCAUACCCUGGCUAUUGUGGCACGGUACGCUUUAUGUGAAAUUCCAUGCACAAAUAAAAUAAAGAAUUCAAAAACAAAACAAAAACAAAUCAGUGACCAAUAUAGCCACCUUUCUUUGCAAGGACACUCAAAAGCCUGCCAUCCAUGGAUUCUGUCAGUGUUUUGAUCUGUUCACCAUCAACAUUGCGUGCAGCAGCAACCACAGCCUCCCAGACACUGUUCAGAGAGGUGUACUGUUUUCCCUCCUUGUAAAUCUCACAUUUGAUGAUGGACCACAGGUUCUCAAUGGGGUUCAGAUCAGGUGAACAAGGAGGCCAUGUCAUUAGAUUUUCUUCUUUUAUACCCUUUCUUGCCAGCCACGCUGUGGAGUACUUGGACGCGUGUGAUGGAGCAUUGUCCUGCAUGAAAAUCAUGUUUUUCUUGAAGGAUGCAGACUUCUUCCUGUACCACUGCUUGAAGAAGGUGUCUUCCAGGAACUGGCAGUAGGACUGGGAGUUGAGCUUGACUCCAUCCUCAACCCGAAAAGGCCCCACAAGCUCAUCUUUGAUGAUACCAGCCCAAACCAGUACUCCACCUCCACCUUGCUGGCGUCUGAGUCGGACUGGAGCUCUCUGCCCUUUACCAAUCCAGCCAUGGGCCCAUCCAUCUGGCCCAUCAAGACUCACUCUCAUUUCAUCAGUCCAUAAAACCUUAGAAAAAUCAGUCUUGAGAUAUUUCUUGGCCCAGUCUUGACAUUUCAGCUUGUGUGUCUUGUUCAGUGGUGGUCGUCUUUCAGCCUUUCUUACCUUGGCCAUGUCUCUGAGUAUUGCACACCUUGUGCUUUUGGGCACUCCAGUGAUGUUGCAGCUCUGAAAUAUGGCCAAACUGGUGGCAAGUGGCAUCGUGGCAGCUGCACGCUUGACUUUUCUCAGUUCAUGGGCAGUUAUUUUGCGCCUUGGUUUUUCCACACGCUUCUUGCGACCCUGUUGACUAUUUUGAAUGAAACGCUUGAUUGUUCGAUGAUCACGCUUCAGAAGCUUUGCAAUUUUAAGAGUGCUGCAUCCCUCUGCAAGAUAUCUCACUAUUUUUGACUUUUCUGAGCCUGUCAAGUCCUUCUUUUGACCCAUUUUGCCAAAGGAAAGGAAGUUGCCUAAUAAUUAUGCACACCUGAUAUAGGGUGUUGAUGUCAUUAGACCACACCCCUUCUCAUUACAGAGAUGCACAUCACCUAAUAUGCUUAAUUGGUAGUAGGCUUUCGAGCCUAUACAGCUUGGAGUAAGACAACAUGCAUAAAGAGGAUGAUGUGGUCAAAAUACUAAUUUGCCUAAUAAUUCUGCACUCCCUGUAAGUGUAUAAGAGUGACUACAUCAUGCCAUAAAAUAAGUGUGACCUAAGUGUGAACCCAGUUGCUAAAGGAGAAGGUAAAGCCAAAGAAGCUCUAGAUGAAAUUUAAGUGAGUAAAUAAAUCAUGACCUUGCCCAAGGGUAUAGGUUGAAGGUCACACAGGUCUCCAGCUUUUUAAAAAUGCUUAGCUAUUCUUUGACCUAUAUUAGGAAUAUAUUCUAUUUUCUUGUAGUAUGCUCUACUGGAUGACAAUAUUACUGACAUUAGACAAAUGAAAAUGGCUGAUAGUUGCCCGGUAGAUAAAGGUGAGAUGUUUGGUAGUUUUAUAUUUUUGAUUAAUUGAUGAAUAUACACUUCAAAAACACUCCAAUGUUGAUACAUUAGGAAUCCCCUUCCCCCUCCCACACAAGGAAGAAUGACUUGGGACAAGCCUGUCAGGGCUAUCUAGAAGAGACACAUCUUACAUGGGCACCAAUUGGUUAGACCUCUCCAAUCCUGAAGGUGGAAGAUUGGAAGUUGAAGUGGAGUGUAGAUCCUUCCCUUUCACAUGCUGACAUUAAGUCAUGUCCCAUUUAUGGCUUUUAUCUGGCACUUGAUGCAGUAUAAAUAUGCCCUUGGACUUUUUCUUAUAUCUUUACCCAGUUGAGCUGGAUGCUUCUCUCUCAGGGAUGUCUCAACCUGGUAACUUAGCAUUAUUAUUGCCUACAUAUUAAAUGUCACUGGGACUGAUGAGUGAAUUUUAUGACCAUAACUCACCUUUACCAUGACUUUGAGUUCUAUUUAUGAAUAAUUAUGGCUAUAGUUAAUUUAUAUAUAAUUUUUAUGGUUCGUUUUAUGAGUUCCACUAAUGUAGUUUUGCUAGAGGUUCUGGUGCUUAGAGUGUCCUUUUCAUAUAGGUCAGAUAGGAGACGAUUGCAAGGGUUAUUAGUUAAAACUUUAUUUGUUGUAUUAGACAUAACACAUUUACUGAAAAUAAAGAAUAAAGGGCAGUCUGCCACAAACAGGAUACUUUGUGAGAAAAAACAGGGUUUAGGCGAUAUGCCACAAACAAGAUCUUUAGAAGGUAAAUGAAUAAAGUCUUUUGUAUACAAGCAGGCUUGAAGUUAUACCAAGUAGUUAAAGAUUUCCAGAAUAUUUUGUAAUGCAACUAGUUAUAGGUAAAUACCUUUUAGGAUAAGACCAUACAGGAUCAUGCAGAGUUGCAGAGGUUGAAAAAGGUAGGUAUAUUCCAAAAUAAUAUAAUGCAGGUUGCUUACGAGAUCAUGCAGUGAUGCAGCAAUUGAAGCAGUUAAGAUUCUUCAAUGAAGGCAAUACGUCACAAAUCAGGAUUCUUGGAAGCUUAUAAGGAAAAUCUUUCAGGCAAGUUCAGGAUGAAGUAAUGCAGGUUAGUGCCUUUCAGUAUGAGGAAAUGCAGACGAGUACAGGAUGAGGCACGGCAGGUAAGUUCUCUACAUAAUGAAAUAAUGUAGAUAAAAUACAGGAUAUUACCAGGAACAGAGAUUCUUUAUCAGAGCAUAGACUUCAUUGUCAAACCACUGUUGUGUGCCGGGAGUAGACUUAUCAAGCCUCCUAAUUAGUUAAUCCAGGUGAGGUUAUUAAGGUGAGUGAAUAGAUUAGUGACUAGGGAGGCCACUAGAGGAGAAAAUCAUGAAGUUCACUUAAAGGGCCAGUAAUAAACGAAAAAGUUUUACAUGUCAGUUUGGAAACCUGACAGUCCUUUUACACAUGACUUGGUGAGGGCAGAUAAAACCGGAAAACCUUUAUAGACUUUAAAUUGUGUUACUUGUAGUACAGAUUUUGUCUUCAUCUUUUGUCUGUUCUGGUGGUGAGAUCUGGUUGCCUUUAACCCUUAAACUUCCACAUAAGGUUUCCAGAUCCAGCAUUUUUUCCAGGUCAUAUAUUGUUUUUUCAGGUUUAGAAGCAGCACAUGAAAAUUACUGACCACCAUUAUGACUAAUGACACAAUUUCUGCGUUCCAUGUGCUGUCAAUCAAUAUCUAUGUGCUAAGUGUUCAGGUACAGAUGGUGGAUCUGACAAUUCUAUUUCCACUACUUUAUCAAAGGCUAGCCUAUUACAACACCCACUUACAUCUGCUCUAUUACCCUGUAAGGUACAGACUGAACUUAUUCCGAAAACAUUUUGUAGCUUCUGGACCAUUGAUUUUUUUCUAGCUAUUCCUGAAUUUGUUAAAAUCUUCUGCAGGUGAAUGUGAUGUGAGUUGCAGCUCGCAGCAGCUUUGGUGAUGCUUGUUAUUUAUUGAUGGACAUCCAUUUAGCUGGACUUCAAAGAACAUGUGACUUCACGGCAUAUGUAAACAGUUAUGAUUUGGGGAAAACAAACAUGAAGUUCUGUUCCUGACAUCUGGACAAUUUUGAAAGAAUCAUAACAAUGCACUACAAAAAAAGUUUAUUCUUGAAAGAGCGAAUUAAAGUGGAUUUAGGCUAAAUAAUCAAACAUACGAAUGUUGCUAAGCUGAACCAAAUGGAAUACUUUACUAUAGUGAAUAGAAUUCCCUCGUACAUAUGUAUAUCCUUAACAAAUAGCGGGUUCUUCAUUUACACCCUGUCUAUCUUUGGCUCCUCUAGGUUCUCAGAUGUAGGCAGUAGUGCCAAACUUACUUCUCUCUUAUUCCUAUUUUAACAGAGCUUCCGGGUGAUUCUAAUUAAUAUGUAAUGUAGUAACACUGUGUAGCAUAUAGCAAUGCAUUUAAUAGCUGACAAAUCCAUGUCUCUGACAACUGAAUUUCAACACUGGCAUGCAUUUUGCUAUCGUGUGUGCCAGCAUCCCAGCACUUCCACCUUAUGUGGCUAACUAGAACCACAUUUAUUGGGAAAUUUUAAAUGCAGUUAAAGAGACCUUUAUAGUCUUCAAAUGGUGAUAUUUUCAGUACAACAUAGUUUGUCUUUAUAAUUUUAUUCUCAGCAAUGUCUUCAGACCAGUUUUACCAUCCUGACUCUCUCCCCUUUCUUUUUCUCCCCUUUUCACCUCAUCACCCUCCUCUCCCUGUCCAUCUUUAAUUUCUCUCUAUUUUACGGGUUAUUCCUGAAUUCUUACCAUGGCCAGGACAUUGCCUAUUUGCACAUCGACUCAUUUUGCAUGUUACUUUGUCUCAUUUUAUUUAGCAGAUUAUCUUGUUUUUUUCACUUUACUGGACUAAAAAAGUUCUAAUUUGGUUAUAGUUCAGCACAUUGUUUUGGCUUCUCCACCAUGUAAACAUUGUACUGUACAAUUAAAUCAAGAAUAAACAUCUCGCUGCACGCAUUAUGGAUGGUGGGACUGAAUAUAAGAACUUGCUUGUGGCAUGCUUGAAACAGCAAACAUUAAUUGUAACUUGUCAAAUCCUUCAAAUAAAAAUGUAAUGCCGUGUACAGACAGAGUGAAAAGUAAACACUGAAUACAUGGUUAGACUUGUUAUCUGGAAGACACAAGAGAGAAUAAUGAACUUGUCACGUAUUUGAGCAAAUACUACUAGGUUAUACUUGAUUAACAUAUUCUUUACAUCUUCAUUUUACAUAGUUACAUAGCUGAAAAGAGACUUGUGUCCAUCAAGUUCAGCCUUCCUCGCAUUUGUUUUUUGCAGUUGAUCCAAAAGAAGGCAUAAAAACAGUUGGAAGCACUUCCAGUUUUGCAACAAACUAGGAUUCCUUCUUGACCCCAGAAUGGCAGUCAGAUUAAUCCCUGGAUCAAGAAGCUAUUACCCUACAUUGAAAAAUGAUAUCCUUUAAUAUUCUGUUUUUUGCAAGUAUGCAUCUAGUUGCUGUUUGAACAUCGUUAUGGACUCUGAUAAAACCACUUUCCCAGGCAGAGAAUUCCACAUCCUUAUUGUUCUUACAGUAAAAAAAAACCUUUCUUUGCCUUAGACAAAAUCUUUUUUCUUCCAGUCUAAACGCAUAACCUCAUGUCCUAUGUAAAGUCCGGUUUAUGAAUAGAUUUCCACACAGUGGUUUGUAUUGGCCCCGAAUAUAUUUGUAUAAUACUAUCAUAUCCCCUCUGAUGUGAUGUUUUUCUAAACUAGAGAGGUUUUAAGGUGGUUCUGUCGCCUCUGGUCAUUUUUUUGUGUAUUUUUUUAAAUAAAAGAUCUUUUCAUGUUGAUCAGUAUUUCAUUGAAAUUCCAAUGCAAUCAAAAGAUAUCUUAGGACACGGAUAUACGUUACUAAGAAGGUUGGAGCCUUGGCAUAGAAUGACAUAGUUCUUGGGGGAGUCCCUUGCCCCAGAGUAUGCAAACUGCUGACUUGAUAAUUAGAUCCUAAACUGGGUAGCCUCUGCUUGGAACUAACCAACUGCCCUCAAUGUCCACCUUCUCUGCAUACAAUUUAAACCACCACUAAUCCAGCUGGUACACAGACCUCCUGUCAGGACAUAAAAAUGUGCAAUAUUGCUCUAGGGCCUUGCGUGCCCAUUGGAAACUGUUAACAUGUAUGUAUAUGAUACUGGGGCUUGCUGGGCCCAUGUGAUGUUGUUAUUACGCUGUGAAAAAAAAAUAAAGAAUAAAAAAAAAAAAAAGAUAUUUUAGGAUAAAGUAGGGACUUCUUGAGGUUACUGUGUACUGGAUCAGUGAAAAACAGCCUGUACCCUGCACUCUAGUGGCUGUGAUCAUACAAUCCUAUUGCUACCCAGUAGAUUAUCCAGUAAAGGGGGACAUGGCGCAUCCCAUACCCCCAUGGUGGGGCCCUAAAUAAAAUGAAUUAACUAAGGGGGUAAUGUCCCCCUCAAGUCACCACCCUUGAAUUACCUGUGAAACUCCAGAUUUACCUGUCGGAGCACUCUGAUGUGUUGGCUCAUUAUAAUGCUCUUUAUAAGGCUUUCCCUGCCCUGCAAGUUCAGUCUGCGUGUAAACCUAGUGGGAUGAGAUGGAUUGUUAUUUCAUCCAGAAAAUUUUUAUUUUUUUAUUUUUUUAUUUAAUAUCUGCAAAGGGACCCUUUGGAUUUUUAUUUGUUCUUUUUUUAUUUGUUCUUUUUUGUUGCAGAAAAGAAGAUGGAAGAAAUAAAAUAUUUAAUGGUAAGUAUGAAAUAUUUAUUUUAUUGGUAUUUUGUUUAUUAUGGGUUGUUAAUCGACUUUUGGCCACUUAACUGGCGCUGGACGUCCUCACGCUAUGAAUGAAGACAUCCAACAUCACCAAAAAGCCCAUAGGAAAGUAUUAAACAGUGCUUUUCUAUGGGGCUGUCCAAAUGUGUACGCGGCACUGAGCACUAUAGGGUGCUAUAGGCUAUAGGGUUAGGAUUAAAAUGCUGUAUUCCUAACCUAUAGUUUACCUUUAAAAGGUACUGUUCUGGAUUACAAAUUAAACGUUAUCUGUUAGACUUGUAAGACUUCCCUUUUCUUUUCUCUGCUACAUAUACUUUUGGAAACAGGAUAUUCAUGUGAAAGGAUAGGAGUAAUUAAUAAUUUAUUAGGAUGUUACUCACUACCAGGUUUUUACUAUUUCCUUUUUAUAUAAAUUAAAAUAAAGGUAUAGUUUUAAAUAAACAGGUAAAGUAAAACAAAAUCCCCCUUCACUCCUCUCUUUCUCAACUGCAAUUGAACUGUACCUUUCAUACCCUUAAGGCCUUCUCCCCAGCUACUGAACAGGAGGUGGCUGCACUUCUUCUUUCCUCUCAUUCCACCAACUUACCAUAUAUCUCUUCCAUUGUUUUGUGCUGCACACAUCUUCAACUGCUCUCUUUCUUUUGGCAUUGUUCUUGUAAUAUUUAUUUUGUAAUAUUUCUUUAAUUGGAACUCAACUGCAGCAUUUCUUGGUUGCAACAACAAUAAGGUUCACCUCCUUUUAUAUUGGUAUGAAACUAUGGUCACUGUACCUUUAAAUAUUCAUGUAGGUAAAAUUAGGCUUUGUAACAAUCCCUUAUGAGUAAGAGGAAUAAUUAGACAAAGUGACACUUUAGUGAGUUUUAGAUACUGUGUAAUAUAAAUAAUAGUAAUUGACUUGUUUGGUAAAAGUAUUACUUAACUUAAAGGCAGUUCUGGCACUGGAAGGGUUAAUUCACCCAAUGAAGGAGAAAUUAGAAGUCCGUUUCAACAAGCUGAGAACUAGGAGUGGAGAGUGGGGAAGUCCGUUUUAACAAGCCGAGGUCUGGGAGUGGAGAAGGUAGAAUUCAGAGUUACAAGCCGAGGUCUAGGAGUGGAGAAGGUAGAAAUCCGUUUACAAGCCGAGGUCGAGAAGUGGAGAAGGUAGAAAUCCGUUUACUAGCCGAGGUAUAGAAGUGGAGCAGGUAGGAUCAGAAGUAGAGCAGCUGAUCUUCAUGCAGCACCUGUGCGAAUAAUCCAGCCCUUUGAAUCUGGCGCGGUCCUCCUAAGUAUCGUGGAGGGACCGCGUCAGAGAAAGGGGCGGGGCUGAGCGCCGUGAACCCGGAAGUGGGUUCCGGCGAUAAAUUACAUGCCAUGCUAUACCUGACAGUACCCCCUUCCCAUGGGGCAUCCUCUGGGUGCACUAUUUCGGUUUGGAGGGAUAGCGUUUGUGAAAGGCAGUAACUAACCUCCUAGCAUGUACAUUAGAUGAAUCUUCCCAAGUGUCUUCAUCAACUCCAUAACCUUUCCAUCUGAUAAGGUAUUGUAAAGAGCCACGGUGGACACGAGAAUCCAAAAUUUUGUGAAUUUCAUAUUCUUCUUCACCUUGGACAAUGAUAGGUUCAGGAGUUGUUACUAUUUCUCUAUAAAAAGGAUCAGGGAUGUGUGGUUUAAGUAAGGAGACAUGGAAUACUGGAUGAAGUUUAAAACUUGGAGGAAGUUUUAGUUUAACAACGUUAUCAUUAAUGAUAGUAAUUACUUGAAAGGGACCAAGAAAAAGAGAGCUCAAUUUCUUUGAAGGACGGCUUGUGGUAAUAUUCCUUGAAGAGAGCCAGACAAGAUCCCCUACCUUGUAAGGAGGGGGAAUUCUUCUAUUAUUGUCAAAAAACUUUUUCUGGUUAUUUUGGGCGAGUUGAAGAUUCUCCCGUAAUUUGAGAAAUAGAGAAGACAUAAAUUCGUUUUUUGAUGUAACAGUAGGAUUGGAUGAAGUAAUGGUUUGGAUGGGGAAUGAAGACGGAUGAAAACCAUAGUUGGAGAAGAAAGGAGUCAUUUUCGUACUAGAAUGAAUGGUAUUAUUGUAAGAAAAUUCGGCCAUAGGUAACCAUGUGGUCCAGUCAUCUUGGAGGUAUGAACAAUAACAUCGAAGAUAUUGUUCCAAACAUUGAUUAACCCUUUCUGUUUGCCCAUUAGUUUGGGGAUGAUAAGCGGAAGAGAGUUUGCGUUGAAUUUGAAGGGAGAGACACAUCUCUUUCCAGAAUUUGGAGGUAAAUUGUGUCCCCCUAUCAGAAAUAAUUUCUUCAGGAAGACCAUGAAGUUUCACAAUAUUGUCAAUAAAGACCUUAGACAAUUCUACAGAGGAGGGUAAUUUUUUUAAAGAAAUGAAAUGGGACAUUUUUGUGAAGCGAUCCACAACGACAAGAAUAGUGGUGAAAUGUUGAGAAGGUGGAAGAUCAACGAUAAAAUCCAUAGAAAUGGAUUGCCAAGGUUUUUCUGGAAUAGGUAAGUUAAGUAGUAAUCCAAAAGGUUGAUUAUGUUCUGGUUUAGACCUUUGACAGAUAGGACAUGUUUUGACAUAUAAUGCAAUGGUUCUAUCCUGGCGAGGCCACCAAUAAUAUCGUGAAGUUAGUUCAAGUGUUUUCUUUAUUCCAGGAUGUCCAGCUAGGGGGGAAUCAUGAACCAUCUUAAGUAAUUUAUUCCUAAGAAUGGGAGGAAUAUAAAUUCUAUUUUUAAAAUAAAAUAGACCAUCCUUUUUUGUUAGUAUAGGUGUUUUGGGAAGUUCAAGAUCCUUCUGAUUCAAAUUCUUUAUGUCAUCAUGAAGAGAAGAGAGGAUUCCUAUUAUUUUGGUAGAAGGAUAAUCAUCAGUAGUAGUUUUAGAAGGAAUUCGAGAAAGAGCGUCAGCCUUUUUAUUUCUAUUUCCAGGUCUGUAUAUUAAUUGGAAGUUAAAUCGGUUAAAAAAUAGGUUCCAUCUAACUUGUCUAGCUGUAAGGGUUUUGUUAGUAUAGAGAUAUUCAAGAUUUUUAUGGUCAGUAUAAACUAUUAUAGGUUGUUUUGUAUCUUCCAGAAGAUGACGCCAAUUUUCGAAGGCAGCUUUAACACUUAAUAAUUCUUUUUCACCAAUAGGAUAAUUUUUUUCAGCAGAGCUCAAGGAUCUUGAAAAAAAGGCAACUGGAUGAAGUGGAUCUUGUGGAGUCUUUUGUUGAGAAAGAACUGCUCCGAUGGCUGCAUCUGAUGCAUCAACUUCAAGAACAUAUAGGAAUGUUGGAUUAGGUAGUUGUAGAAUAGGUGCAGUUGUAAAUCUUUUUUUUAAUUCGUCGAAGGCUGUUUGAGCAUCUUUAUUCCAAUUAAAAGGACGUUUACUACUGUUGAGGAGGUUAAGAGGAUGUGAUACAUCCGAAUAGUUUCUAAUAAAUUUUCUAUAGAAGUUUGCAAAUCCAAGAAAACGUUGUAAUUCUUUUGUAGUAGUAGGAGCAGGCCAAUCAAUAAUACAUUUGAUUUUGGAAUUAUCCAUCUUCAAAGAAUGAGGUGAAAUAAUGUAUCCUAGAAAAGAGAAUUCAGUAACCUCAAAAAGGCAUUUUUCUGGUUUAGCGUAUAAUUUAUGAGUUCUCAGUCUAGAUAGAACCCAUCUAACAUGUUUCCUAUGUUCAUCCAAAUUGUUAGAAUAUAUUAAGAUAUCAUCUAAGUAGAUAAUAACACAUACAUCCAGAAGAUCUCUAAAGAUAUCAUUGAUAAAAUGUUGAAAUGUUGCAGGGGCAUUACAGAGCCCGAAAGGCAUCACUAGAUAUUCGUAGAGACCAUAUCUUGUCCGGAAGGCGGUUUUCCAUUCAUCAUCCUGUUUUAUUCUAAUGAGGUUAUAUGCGCCUCGAAGGUCGAGUUUAGUGAAUAUAGUUGCAGUUCUUAACCUUUCAAUUAAUUCAUUUAUUAGUGGAAGAGGAUAACGAUUUUUAAUAGUUAUUUUAUUUAAGGCUCUGUAAUCUAUAAUAGGACGGAUGGUUUGGUCUUUAUUCUUCACAAAGAAAAUACUAGAAGCAGCAGGAGAGGUCGAGGGUCUGAUGAACCCUUUGCGUAAAUUUUCAUUAAGAUAUUCUUUUAAAAUUUCUAAUUCCUUUUCAGAGAGUGGAUAAAUAUGACCGUAAGGAAUAGGAGCUCCGGGUAUGAGAUCUAUUGGGCAAUCAUAUAGCCGAUGAGGAGGAAGUGUUUCCGCUUCUUUUUUACAAAAGACAUCUGCAAAGUCGGAGUAGAAUGGAGGUAUAACUGGUUCUACAGUAGUUUGGAGAAUAGGAAUGUGUUGUAAGCACGUUUUUUUACAGAAAUCAGAAGCAAAGGAGAUGGAGAAGGGAGACCACUUAAUUAAAGGAUCAUGGUUUUUUAACCAAUUAAUUCCUAGAAUGACGGGAUAAAGUGGAGAUUUAAUAAUAUCAAAUGUAAUGAAUUCGAAAUGUACGUUGUUGGUAAUCAUUCUUAGAGGGAUUGUUUCAUCUUUGAUGGGUCCUGAGGAUAUAAAUGAACCGUCAAUAACUCUGAUUGGAAUAAAAUUGGUUUUUUGAACACAAGGAAUUUUAUUUUUUGAAACAAAAGAAAAAUCAAGAAAAGUUCCAUUAGCACCAGAAUCAAUGAUGGCCUCAGUCACGAUUCUUUUUGUAUCCCACUGUAAUAUGAGAGAUAUAGAAAAAUAAGUAGAUGCUUUUCUUUUUUGAAAAACGUUCAAUAUAGAGGUAGAUGAAUGAAGCUUACCACCUUUUGAAUGUUUCAGUAGAGGACAUUCGGAAAUUAGAUGUUCAUUCGAAGCACAAUACAUACAUAAGUUUAGUUGUCUCCUUCUUAUUCUUUCUUCAGAAGUAAGAGGACUUUUUAUUAUACCUACUUCCAUAGGUUCAGUUUGUGGAGGAAUUUUUUCAGGUAGUUUUAGAGUAGUGAAAGGUUUUCUCCAGGUAGAAUUAGUAAGAACCCUUUCAGCUUUUCUUUCUCUUAGACGUCUAUCAAUACUGAUAGACAGUUGAAUCAAUGCAUUUAAGGUAGGAGGAAGUUCUGUACGAGAGAGUUCAUCUUUCACAGCUUCAGAUAAUCCGAGACGGAAUUGAUUGCGUAAAGUAAUGUCAUUCCAUUGGGUUUCUGUAGCCCAUCUUUUGAAUUCUGCAAUAUAAUCUUCAACAGGUCUAUUCUUUUGGUGUAAUGUUCUGAUGGUUAAAUCAGCAGUAGUUUGUUUAAAAGGAUCUUCAUAUAAUAAAGACAUAGCUUCAAAGAACUCAUCCAAUGAAUCCAAUAUGGGAUCAUCAUUUUCCAAAAAGGAAUGGGCCCAGGCCAUAGGUUCACCUCUUAAAAAAGAGAUCACUGAACAGACUUUGGAUCUUUCGGUGGGAUAAGAUCUAGGUUUUAAAGCUAUUAGUAGUUUGCAAGAAUUCAAAAACUCUCUGUACUUUGUUCUAUCUCCAUAAAAUUUUUCUGGAUUACAGACAGCAGGAUCACCAGCCGAUUGAAGAGCGGCAUGAGGAAGAUGACCUUGAAUGUCUCUAACAUAGGUUAAUAUUCUCUCAUUUGUAAUUUGCAGUUCCUGUAACCCUUGAGCAAUCGUAUCCACUCUAUUGGUUAGGGCAGAAACUUGAGAGUUAAUAUCUGCUGGUUCCAUUUAAUAUUGGCUGGAUUAUUCUGUAAUAUUUAUUUUGUAAUAUUUCUUUAAUUGGAACUCAACUGCAGCAUUUCUUGGUUGCAACAACAAUAAGGUUCACCUCCUUUUAUAUUGGUAUGAAACUAUGGUCACUGUACCUUUAAAUAUCCAUGUAGGUAAAAUUAGGCUUUGUAACAAUCCCUUAUGAGUAAGAGGAAUAAUUAGACAAAGUGACACUUUAGUGAGUUUUAGAUACUGUGUAAUAUAAAUAAUAGUAAUUGACUUGUUUGGUAAAAGUAUUACUUAACUUAAAGGCAGUUCUGGCACUGGAAGGGUUAAUUCACCCAAUGAAGGAGAAAUUAGAAGUCCGUUUCAACAAGCUGAGAACUAGGAGUGGAGAGUGGGGAAGUCCGUUUUAACAAGCCGAGGUCUGGGAGUGGAGAAGGUAGAAUUCAGAGUUACAAGCCGAGGUCUAGGAGUGGAGAAGGUAGAAAUCCGUUUACAAGCCGAGGUCGAGAAGUGGAGAAGGUAGAAAUCCGUUUACUAGCCGAGGUAUAGAAGUGGAGCAGGUAGGAUCAGAAGUAGAGCAGCUGAUCUUCAUGCAGCACCUGUGCGAAUAAUCCAGCCCUUUGAAUCUGGCGCGGUCCUCCUAAGUAUCGUGGAGUGACCGCGUCAGAGAAAGGGGCGGGGCUGAGCGCCGUGAACCCGGAAGUGGGUUCCGGCGAUGAAUUACAUGCCAUGCUAUACCUGACAGUUCUAGAUCCUCUUAAACAUGCUACUGUUCUACCAGUCCUUAAAAAAGUAAUCUCUUGACCAUUCUUCCCCUUCCAAGUAUCGUCCCAUAUCCAUGCUCCCUUUUUUUCUUCAAAGUUUCUGAUAAGACUUGUAUUUGCCCAUUUGUCUUGUUUCCUCAAUUCCAACUCUCUCCUUAACCCACUCCACUGAGACUGCUCUGAUUAAAGUUACAAAUGACCUAAUCGCAGCUAAAUUCAAAGGUCACUACUCAAUACUAAUUCUUCUUGAUCUGUCUGCUGCCUUUGACACUUUUGAUCAUGUCCUCCUUCUCCAAACUUUUCAAUCUCUCGGUCUCUGUGACACUGUCCUCUCGUGGUUUUCCUCCUAUAUCUUCCAACAUUCAUUAAGUGGCUUCUUUUCCAAUUACACCUCCUCCACUCGUCCUGUCUCAGUUGGAGUCCCCCAAUCUUUGCAAGCUUGCUUUCUUGGUAUUAUCUUUGGUAUUAUUAUCGAUCCUGGCCUCACCUUUGCACUUCACGUCCAGUCUAUUGGGAAUCAUGCUGAUUCUACCUUAAAAACACUGCCCACAUCCGUUCCUUUCUUACGCAAGAUGCUGCCAAGGAGCUUCUUCAUGCUCUAGUAAUUUCUUGUAAUUGUAAUGAAUGCUGCCGCCAGGCUAAUCUUUCUCUCUUGUCUCUCCUCUCACACUUUGCCCCUCUGUCGAUCCUUACACUGGCUUCCUGUACCCUAAAGCUAUAUAAUACAUAGUGGGGGUCCUGCUAGGGAAGAUACGAAUGGCACAACAUAGUGCAAGAUUGUAUAUACACUCAAGCAAAAUAUAUUUCAGUUGGCCACUCACAAUUUACGAAUUAAGGAUGGUUCUUCAGGAUGACGUCAGGAUGGUUUGUGUCAAAAAAUUUUGAUCACAAGGGAGCAUUCAGAACAGUAUAAAUACACAGAUACCUUCCAAGAUCUCCAUCUUAGAGAUAUUGGUUAAACAGUCCAAUGCUGUAGAGCGGAAGAGAGACACAAUGCAGCAAGAAUAUAGAGAAUGCUGAAUAAAGUGCAAAAAAACAACAACCAGAUUUAUUUACUUACACAGACGUUAAUAACAGCAUACAUGUAGUGUCACCACCAGUACUAUGCGUUUCAUCCCAAAAGGGACUUUCUCAGGGAAAGUAUGGAAAGUAUUGUAGUGUGUGCAAGUCCAAUGUGAAUAUUAUAUUUAUUGAAAAAAAGGGCAUGAAAUGCAAGCAUGUUUUCAUCGAUAGUAAAUCUACCAAAUAGUGAUUUUAUGUGAGAAAGCAGAAAAAUAAUCUGCUAGACACGCAUGUAAUAGGUAAGGAAUGUGUGUGAUUUUUUUAAUAUUCUUUGGAAAUAAUGCAAUUUAGUAAAUAUGGGGUUUAUAUGCUUAGAGCUGUAUGAUUCAUCCUGCAAAGCAUGAAAUGUUUGUUAUUUAUGCUGAGAAACAAGCACAGAAAAAGUCAUGAAAUCCACUCUUAUCCUAUUAUGGCAUGCACAGACUUCAAAGUUGUUGCUAUCUCCUUAACUAACGCUGGAAUUGCAAAAUGUUAACAUUCUAUAACUUUAAAGGGGACAUUUCUAAAAUGGUUUAACUAGUUUACAUGGGAUGGCAUCAAUGUACUAAUUGUUACUUUAAUCUAACCAAACUUUUGUGCAUUUAGAAAAAAAUCACAGGUGUGGAUAAGCGCUGGAAGAACAACUGACAAAAUAUAGUCAGCAAACUCUGGAUAUAGGGUAUACCCUCAAAACCCCCCAAAAUAACAACAUAAAACACACAAAAACAGGUUGCGCCAAUGGAUACAUAUAAAGGUAAAACAAGUAAAGAAGUAUAUAUAGAAUAAAUAAUACAUAAAUGUAUAAAGUCCAAUAUUUACAGUCCAAUGAUCACAAUCCCAGCUGAUUGAUAUGUAUCAGUUCUUGAUUAACCCCUUAAGACCGCAGCCAAAUGUACAAGUUGUUAUCCAAAAAAAAGUAAACAAACCACAGAAUUUUACUAUAUGUCUGUUCAACAAUAAUUUCAUACUAAGUGCACUCACACUUAUUAUAUAUCAUUUUAUUCAGGGGAAACAGGGCUUUCAUUUAACAUCAAAUAUUUAGGUAUGGAACAUAAUUUAAUAUGAAUAAAAUAUAAAAAAAUGGGUGAAAAUAAGAUUUUAAAAAAAAUUUCUUAGUUCUAUGUGACAUUUUAACUGUGAAUGUCAAAAUACUGUUUGCUUUUACUGCAAUAAAAUAUACAUAUUUGUAUUCAGCGAUGUCUCACGUGUAAAACAGUACCCCCUAUGUACAGGUUUUAUGGUGUUUUGGGAAGUUACAGGGUCAAAUAUAGCAUGUUACAUUUUUUGUUUUUUCACAUUGAAAUUCGCCAGAUUGGUUACGUUGCCUGUGAGACUGUAUGGGAGCCCAGGAAUGAGAAUUACCCCCAUGAUGGCAUUCCAUUUGCAACAGUAGACAACCCAAGGUAUUGCAAAUCAGGUAUGUCCAGUGUUUUUUAUUAGCCACUUGGUCACAAACACUAGCCAAAGUUAAUGUUAAAAUUUGUUUGUGUGUGAAAAAUGCAAAAAACUAAUUUGAACGCCAAUUUUGGCCAGUGUUUGAAAAAUGCAAAAAACUUCACUUUCACUGACGAUAUCAUCAUUGUAAUACAUUUUACGGUUUUGAAACACAAAUAUUUGUGUUAAGCGAUGUCUCCCGAGUAAAACUACCCCCCAUGUACAGGUUUUAUGGUGUCUUGGAAAGUUAUAGGUUUAAAUAUAGUGCUAGCAAAUUAAAUUCCCUGUACUUUCGGUCUGGGUUGUCAGGCGGGUCCCGCAAAUUGUAAUUAAUAAAAGGACCUAAUUAUGUAAAAUUAUUACAUAAAUAUACAUGUAAAAUUAUAUAUAUAUAUAUAUAUAUAUGUGUGUAUAUAUAUAUAUAUAUAUAUAUAUAUAUAUAUAUAUAUAUAUAUAUAUAUAUAUAUAUGUAUAUAAUUUUUAUUUUUAUUUAUAUAUAGGUAUACAUAUAGUGAUAUAUACGUAUAUAUAUAGAUAUAUAUAUUAUUUCGUUCUACAUGUAUUUUGAUAUCAAUAUAUAUAUAUAUAUAUAUAUAUAUAUAUAUUACUAUAAAAAUACAGUUAGAACGAAAUUACACACAUAUAUAUAUUUUUUAAAUUAUUUAUGUUUUUUUUAAUGUAUUUACAUAUCUUUUAUUAUAUAUAAAUAUAUAUAUAUAAUUAUAAUUAUAUAUAUUUCAUCAAUAUCAUUCUAAGUGUAUUUUUAUAUUAAUAUAUAUAUAUAUAGUUAUAUAUAUAUAUAUAGUUAUAUAUAUAUAUAUAUAUAUAUAUUAAUAUUAAAAUACACUCAGACAGUGUAUGUGUAAAUAUAUACUUAGAUCAUAUAUAUAUAUAUAUAUAUAUAUAUAUGAUCUAAGUAUAUUUUAUUUUUAACUGUAAUUUAUUUUAUUUUGUAACAUUAAGGGGUUAAAAGGGGCAGAGACAGUGUCAGCCAGUGAUUUCACAUCAUUGGCUGACACACAGGAUCAGUGAUCACAGUGACUGGCUGUCACUGUGAUCACCUCCUGCAGAUCGCGGUAAAUGGCCAUAGGGGGAGUGCCUAGGUGGCCAGGCAUGCCCCCCACCGCGAUUUGUAGGGGGAUCCUGCCUGCAGUUACUAUGUGUCAGCCAAUAGGCUAACACAUAGUAACUCUGAUCGCAGUGAGAGGCUGUCACUGCGUUCAGAUCGCAGUGACAGGCUGUCUCUGCGAUCAAGAUGAGCAGAUCGCGGUCACUGACCACAGGGGGACUGCCUUGGGGGCCAGGCAUGUCCCCCGACUGCAAUCUGCAUCUGAAAAAAUGCUGCGGCUCCAUGUGUCAGCUGAUUUUAAAAACGACUGAUACAUGGUAAAUGCCGAUCGCAGUGACAUACUGUCACUGCAAUCGGAGGCUGCAGACCACGGUCACUGGGCACAGGGGGGCUGCCUGGAGGACCAGGCCUUCCUCGUGACCGCGAUCUGCAACGGGGUAAUGCUUACCGGCCACGUGGGAGGUAAGACCGCCAUGCAGCGUUUAGAGCCAGCCAAUUAAGGACAGCAUUGAAAGCCCUGCGGUUUUAAGGGAUUAAGGUGCUUGUCAACAUAUGUAAAAAGAUACAAAAUGAAAGAUAAUAGUGCAGACUGUUUAAGCAGGAAUAUAAAACUCUCAAUAAUGGUAAUUGGCAUUGCACUCACAUUUCGUAGAGCUUAAACUAGCUCUAAGUAAAAUUGCUUGCAGCGGUACAAUCCCAACUGAUGGAUAUAAAACUCUGAAUACCAGUGUCUCAGCGUACAGAUGAUUAUAUAAAAAACACAAAAAGAGAUACACAGUAGUGCUCACUGUAAGUACAAUUAAUAUAAAAAUAUAUGAAUGUAUUUUACUCACAUUUGAUAGAGCAGUGAAAUGCUCAAAUAUCUGCGCAUUGGUGGUAUAAUUCCCACCAGGGAUAUGGUUUGGAGUAGUUGUCCAAAAUUGAAGUUGGAAGUGCCAGGAACAAAUAAAACAGUUAAAAACUAUUAAAAAGCAUAAAAAGUGUAAUAAAUGGUCAAUAGGUCAAUAGGCAACGUUCGGCACUCCCAAUGCCGUGGACUACAUCUCCCACAAUGCUCUUACAGCCAUAAUGCUGGUAAAGCAUCAUGGGAGGUAUGGUCCAAAACAUCUGCAGUGCCAAAGUUUACCUAUACCUGGUCAUAUAAUAAAUGAAAACCAUAUAUACUUUAAUGAUAAAAGAAAUAAAACAAAUACUACACAAGUGUUUCAUCAAUAAAAGCUUUUUUCAAGUGUAAACAGAUUGACCUGGCACAUAAGGGUAUAUAUAGGUGGUAAUGGCAGUUAAAAUUAGAAUGUUGGUGCCAAAAUUAAGUCCUUUGACCUUUGACCUCAAUAAGGUCACAUGAUAUAUACAAUAUGAAGUUAAUCGAAAAAGGAAGUUGGGUGGUGCCCAUCUUUGAUAUGGGCAUACUAUGGGAAAUAAAAAGGUAGUACUAAAUGCCUUUUUAGGAAAGCUGUAAAAGAACCAAAAAGCAACACAAAAAAAAUCAUAUAUAUAUUGUAUAUGUGUGUAAACUUUAGGUUGUAUGUUUUUACCAAGAUAUAAAAUGAAUAGAGGCAAUUCAAAACAAUAAUAGUGGAUAACAUAUUAAUAAAUAUAUAUAUAUAUAUAUAUAUAUAUAUAUAUAUACACUGCUCAAAAAAAUAAAGGGAACACAAAAAUAACACAUCCUAGAUCUGAAUGAAUUAAAUAUUCUUCUGAAGUACUUUGUUAUUUACAUAGUUGAAUGUACUGACAUGCAAAAUCACACAAAAAUAAAAAAAUGGAAAUCAAAUUUUUCAACCCAUGGAGGUCUGGAUUUGGAGUCACACUCAAAAUUAAAGUGGAAAAACACAUUACAGGCUGAUCCAACUUUGAUGUAAUAUCCUUAAAACAAGUCAAAAUGAGGCUCAGUAGUGUGUGUGGCCUCCAUGUGCCUGUAUGACCUCCCUACAACGCCUGUGCAUUCUCCUGAUGAGAUGGCGGAUGGUCUCUUGAGGGAUCUCCUCCCAGACCUGGACUAAAGCAUCUGCCAACUCCUGGACAGUCUGUUGUGCAACGUGACGUUGGUGGAUGGAGCGAGACAUGAUGUCCCAGAUGUGCUUAAUUGGAUUCAGGUCUGGGGAACGGGCGGGCCAGUCCAUAGCAUCAAUGCCUUCGUCUUGCAGGAACUGCUGACACACUCCAGCCACAUGAGGUCUAGCAUUGUCUUGCAUUAGGAGGAACCCAGGGCCAACCGCACCAGCAUAUGGUCACAAGGGGUCUGAGGAUCUCAUCUCGGUACCUAAUGGCAGUCAGGCUACCUCUGGCGAGCACAUGGAGGGCGGUCCCCCAAAGAAAUGCCACCCCACAUCAUUACUGACCCACUGUCAAACCAGUCAUGCUGGAGGAUGUUGCAGGCAGCAGAACGUUCUCCACAGCGUCUCCAGAUUCUGCCACGUGUGUCACAUGUGCUCAGUGUGAACCUGGUUUCAUCUGUGAAGAGCACGGUGGCCCUCAUACCACCUUCAUGGAGUCUGUUUCUGACCGUUUGAGCAGACACAUGCACAUUUGUGGCCUACUGGAGGUCAUUUUGCAGGGCUCUGGCAGUGCUCCUCCUGUUCCUUCUUUCACAAAAGCGGAGGUAGCGGUCCUGCUGCUGGGCUGUUGCCCUCCUACAGCCUCCUCCACGUCUCCUGAUGCACUGGCCUGUCUCCUGGUAGCGCCUCCAUGCUCUGGACACUACGCUGACAGACACAGCAAACCUUCUUGCCACAGUUCGCAUUGAUGUGCCAUCCUGGAUGAGCUGCACUACCUGAGCCACUUGUGUGGGUUGUAGACUCCAUCUCAUGCUACCACUAGAGUGAAAGCACCGCCAGAAUUCAAAAGUGACCAAAACAUCAGCCAGGAAGCAUAGGAACUGAGAAGUGGUUGUGGUCACCACCUGUAGAACCACUCCUUUAUUGGGGGUGUCUUGCUAAUUGCCUAUAAUUUCCACCUGUUGUCUAUCCCAUUUGCACAGCAGCAUGUGAAAUUGAAGUGUUGCUCCCUAAGUGGACAGUUUGAUUUCACAGAAGUGUGAUUGACUUGGAGUUACAUUGUGUUGUUUAAGUGUUCCCGUAAAGGAGCGAGAGAUUAUCAUGACAGACCUUUGCCCUAUGCACAGAGCUGAAGUCAGGUUAUUAUGGCAUGUAUGCCAGCAACCUUCAGAAGGCGAAGAGUGUAUUGUGAAAGAAAUGGGAAAAGCUUCAUGAGAGCUCAGUGACAACAGCAGCCAGGGAGACAUUCAGGCAGCUGUAUGGAUUAAUGUGUAUGUCAGUAUCUGUGUAUGUUUAUGGCUUAGUCUGUGUCUGUAUGGGUCAGUGUUUGGUGUGUGUCCACAUGGGUCAGUCUGUGUGCCUGUAUGGGUCAGUGUGUAUAUCAGUGAGUGUGUGUAUACAUAUAUGGGUCAAUGUAUGUGUGUGGGUCAAUAUGUGUGUCAAAGAAUGUUUGUGAGUAUGUGUCAGUGUUUAGGUCAACAUGUGUCUAUAUGGGUCACUGUUGGUGUGUCACUGAGUGUGUAUGUUUGUAAAUAUAUUUAUAUUUAUAUAUAUAUAUAUAUAUAUAUAUAUAUAUAUAUAUAUAUGACAUUCUGUUGAUAUGGAUCAAUGUUGCUGUCAGUAUGUCAGUAAGAGUGUCUUUAUGGUUCAGCCUGUGUGUAUCAAUGUGUAGGUGUGUGUGAGUGAGAGUGUCUUUUUUUGUGUUAGUGUAUGUAUGUAUGUAUGUUUCAGUGGGUGCUAGUAUGUGAGUAUGCUUGUCAAAUAGUGCAUCAAUUCCAUAAAUAGGAGAGAGAGAGAGAGAUUAAUGAAGCAGUCUUGUAUAAUUCAUGACCCUGCAGUCUUACUGCUCAGUUCUCUGUUAUUUAUGUGUUAAAUCACUUUAUUUUUUGUUUUUGCAGUCAUAGCCACACUUCCCUGGAUUGUGACUCACACAGCCUACAUGAAAACAAAAUGAUUUCAUUUUCAAUUACUUUUAAAGUUUUAUCUCCUGCUCUGUAUAGUGAACUAUAAUCACACACAGGAGUCUCCUGCAGGGUUUAGUGAGCUAUUAACAGAGUAGGAGAUAAAUUCAAAAUUAAACAGAAUUUGCAGUCAGGGCCGGCGCAUGUGCUGUGUGUUAGUGUGUUUAUUUUUGUUUCAGUUGGUGCUAGUAUGUGAGUAUGCUUGUCAAAGAGUGCAUCUAGGGGGGUAAGGGGUAGGGAGGGGAGAGGACCUCUAAGGGACAGAGAAAGGAGGGGAGAGGUACACCAAGGAACAGGGGAGGGAGGGGAGAUACACUAAGGAACAGGGAAGUGAGGGGAGAUAAACACCAAGAGACAGGGAGGGGUGGGGAGAGAUAAACUAAGAAACAGAGAAGGGAAGGGGGGGGACUACUAAGGGGUAGGGGAGGGAGAGGACCACUAAGGGACAAGGAAGGGAGGGUAGAGGAAACCACUAAGGGACAGAGAAGGGUGGGAGAGGAAACCACUAAGGGGAGGGGAAGGGAGACCACAAAGGGACAAGGAGAGGAGACCACUAAGGGACAGGGAAGGGGGGGGGAGGAGACCACUAAGGCACAGGGGGAAGAGAGGAGACCACUAAGGGAUAGGGGGAGAUGAGACCAUUAUGAGAUGGGGGUGCUAAUAAGGUCCUGGAGGGGAGGAAAGACCACUAAUGGACAAGGGCGUUGUGGAAGAGAGCACAAAGAAAUGGCGGAAGAGGUGAAAGAGACACAUAAAGGGGCUGGUGGAGGAGAAAGAGGCACAGAGGGACAUGAGGAGGGUGAAAUACACACACAGAGAGGUUGGGGAUGAAAGAGACACACAGAAGGGCCUUGGGGGAAUACAUAGAAUGGUUGCGGGGGAGACACACAGAGGGCCUGGGCAGGAGACAAAUGGGCUCGGGGUGAAAGAGACACACACAGAGGAGCUGGGAAGAGUAAAAGACGCAAGGGGUUUGGGAGAGAAGGAUACACACAAAGGGGCUGCAGUGAGUAAGACAUAUAAAAUGUGUGAGGAUGCAAGAGUCAUACAAAGAGGUGGGAAAAGAGGCACACAAGGGGGUUGUAAGAGAUACUCAAGGGAGGUGUAAGACACACAAUGGGGAAAAAUAGGUAAUAAGAUGCACUAAAGGGGGUAAGACAUUAAGAAGAGGGGAUACGAAACACAAAACAGGGGUUAAGAUUUUUGGGGGGAGUGGGGCAGAAAAAUGCAUCUUUGCCUGUGUACCCAAAAAUCCUUGCACCGGCCCUGGUCACAGUCACAUAUCUGCUUGCAAUAAGAUGUAACGUGUAUAGUUAUUUACAAUACCUGACAAUGUUUUAUCUGUUAGUAGUUAGGAGUGUAUGGUUGACAUGUGACAACCUGACAUAGAAGAAUAUUUAAUUUGAUUGCAUCCACAAAUAAUAACCUUUUAAACACAGAGUUUGUUUUUCAAAGAUUUGUAGAGUUCUUGCAAACAGUAUGAGUUAUUUUCUGUAUAAUAUAAUCUAAAUGUUUGCUUGUACUUUCAAGAGAACAUUUAUGCUUCGCACUACACAUCUGUCUAAAAUAUGUGAAUACGUUCUACACAUAUACACAGACAAAUGUGCUGCUAAAACACAGUGUGAUCCACAAAAAAAAUCCAAGUCUGUUUUUUUUUUUUUACAUGAAUUGUCUUUUUUUUGCAGGGGUAAAUGGGGGUGUUGCGGGAGGUCUCUGUACAGUACAUAUUGCUGAGAUAAUUCUCUGAACAAACUUCUUUUUUAUUGCAGAGAUUGUUUCCCAGUCAUACUGUUAUGUUCAUUCUGUACAUUAAUUUGGCCACAGUACAUGGAAUGCAGAGAGUGCAUGCAAUGAUAAAAUGAAAUAUAGUCUGCUGUUUCUCAGACUCAGCUGAUUUUUCAUGUGCAUGUCCCAGUGUAAUUCUUUGCAGUCCAAGAUUACAAUUAUGGCACAGAAAGUAAUCUGACCAAACACUAACACAGUUUUAUAUGUGUAUGGGAAUUUUAAUUAUUUAUGUAGUGUCCAUCGCACUCACAUUAUUCAGAAUUUAUUUGUAUGUAGCCUCGUGCAGUAAAUGACUCUGUGGCCAUAGCAACUGGGCUGAUAUAUCUUGCAUCUAAUCCAGUAUGUCGUGGCCUGUAAGGAGCCAAUCUGCUGAAAGGAUGUUGACUGACCACUUUUAUUUUUUAUAAGGCAGGUAUCCAAUAAGAAGCUGGAAGAACGCAAGCUAAAUGUUAAAUAAGAAUGCACACCAAGGAGCAUGCUGGGCUCCAAGUGAACUUAAUGCACCCAAAUGCCAUUGAUGACUAAACAAAGUGAUGGUAUAUAUAAUAUGCAACAAAACACUGUGAUUAUUAAACC